rnacentral:rRNA from 1 species
UACGGGGGGGGCAAGCGUUGUUCGGAAUUACUGGGCGUAAAGGGCUUGUAGGUGGCCAAUUAAGUCAGACGUGAAAUCCCUCAGCUUAACUGGGGAACUGCGUCUGAUACUGGAUGGCUUGAGUUUGGGAGAGGGAUGCGGAAUUCCAGGUGUAGCGGUGAAAUGCGUAGAUAUCUGGAGGAACACCGGUGGCGAAGGCGGCAUCCUGGACCAACACUGACACUGAGGAGCGAAAGCCAGGGGAGCAAACGGG